UACGUAGGGGGCAAGCGUUGUCCGGAAUCAUUGGGCGUAAAGCGCGUGUAGGCGGUUCGAUAAGUCUGCUGUGAAAGUCAAAGGCUUAACCUUUGAAUGCCAGUGGAUACUGUCGGACUAGAGUGCGGAAGAGGCAAGUGGAAUUCCUGGUGUAGCGGUGAAAUGCGCAGAUAUCAGGAGGAACACCAACGGCGAAGGCGGCAUCCUGGACCGACACUGACACUGAGGAGCGAAAGCCAGGGGAGCAAACGGG
rnacentral:rRNA from 1 species